UACGAAGGGGGCUAGCGUUGUUCGGAAUCACUGGGCGUAAAGCGUACGUAGGCGGACCAUUAAGUCGGGGGUGAAAUCCCAGGGCUCAACCCUGGAACUGCCUUCGAUACUGGUGGUCUGGAGUCCGGGAGAGGUGAGUGGAACUCCUAGUGUAGAGGUGAAAUUCGUAGAUAUUCGCAAGAACACCAGUGGCGAAGGCGGCUCACUGGCCCGGAACUGACGCUGAGACGCGAAAGCGUGGGGAGCAAACAGG
rnacentral:rRNA from 1 species